UGGGGAAUAUUGCACAAUGGAGGGAACUCUGAUGCAGCGACGCCGCGUGAGUGAUAAAGGAAUUCGUUUCGUAAAACUCUGUUCUAUGGGAAGAAAAGGACUGUACCAUAGGAGAAAGCUCCGGCUAAAUACGUGCCAGCAGCCGCGGUAAUACGUAUGGAGCGAGCGUUGUCCGGAAUUAUUGGGCGUAAAGGGUGCGCAGGCGGCUUUACAAGUUGGAUGUGAAAUAUUGUGGCUCAACCACAAACGUGCACCCAAAACUGCAAAGCUUGAGUUAAGGAGAGGUAAGUGGAAUUCCUGGUGUAGCGGUGGAAUGCGUAGAUAUCAGGAGGAAUACCGGUGGCGAAGGCGACUUACUGGACUUAAACUGACGCUCAGGCACGAAAGCGUGGGGAGCAAACAGG
rnacentral:rRNA from 1 species